AAGGCAUGGGUCAUUACAAUUGUAGACCUAUCCUAAUUUAUACUAAUGACUAACAGGCCUAACAGCAAAUAAGAGUCUGUGGAUUGGAAAGUGAAAUGGCUUGAUUAAAAACAAUGAAUUUUGUGAGCUUUAGUAACAUGCGAAGAGAAUAAUAAUUUUUAUGCUAUCCAUUCCUCACAGAAAAACUAUCAAUAUUAAAAACAAGUGAAUACUUAUGAAUAGGCUUUAUGAAUAAGGGUAUUCACAGACUCUAAUAAGUCAAGUCCUGGCACAAUGAUCUCUGAGGAGUCUGGAUGUGGUACUUCAGCUUAUAUUUUGGACAUCUUUGAGGUUAUGGUCAUCAGCUGUGGGGUCAUAGGAACCAUCAAACCAAAGCUUCCGGAAGAGAGAAUUCAGUGAGUACAUUCCUUAGUGUUUUUGUGAGUGGAUAAAUUUUUAUAUGAUCAAAAUGUGUAUCCGUGCUUCUCUGCUGUUUAAUUAUAGGGCCA
rnacentral:lncRNA from 1 species